rnacentral:misc_RNA from 1 species
GCCUUGUCGGCAGGUUGCUGCGUCCAGUCGAUCAGCGGAACGCCGUAGGCUCUGCUCCAUACGGUCAGGAAGCGGGGAAACCAGGAGUGCGCGAUAGCGCCGCGGUAGGCCCAUGUGCGGUACUGAAGGCCGNNNNNNNCUGACAAUAAUUCCUGGUAUCCGCCAUGCGUCUCCGUGGCGUGAUGAAUAUGACGCAGGAUUUCGCG